GAUGAACGCUGGCGGCGUGCUUAACACAUGCAAGUCGAACGAUGAAAGCGGAGCUUGCUCUGCUGGAUUAGUGGCGAACGGGUGAGUAACACGUGAGCAAUCUGCCCCUGACUCUGGAAUAACACUUGGAAACAGGUGCUAAUACCGGAUACGAAGCGUGAAGGCAUCUUCAGCGCUUGGAAAGAUUUAUCGGUCAGGGAUGAGCUCGCGGCCUAUCAGCUAGUUGGUGAGGUAACGGCCCACCAAGGCGACGACGGGUAGCCGGCCUGAGAGGGUGACCGGCCACACUGGGACUGAGACACGGCCCAGACUCCUACGGGAGGCAGCAGUGGGGAAUAUUGCACAAUGGGCGCAAGCCUGAUGCAGCAACGCCGCGUGAGGGACGAAGGCCUUCGGGUUGUAAACCUCUUUUAGCAGGGAAGAAGCGAAAGUGACGGUACCUGCAGAAAAAGCACCGGCUAACUACGUGCCAGCAGCCGCGGUAAUACGUAGGGUGCGAGCGUUAUCCGGAAUUAUUGGGCGUAAAGAGCUCGUAGGCGGUUUGUCGCGUCUGCUGUGAAAACCCGAGGCUCAACCUCGGGCUUGCAGUGGGUACGGGCAGACUAGAGUGCGGUAGGGGAGACUGGAAUUCCUGGUGUAGCGGUGGAAUGCGCAGAUAUCAGGAGGAACACCAAUGGCGAAGGCAGGUCUCUGGGCCGUAACUGACGCUGAGGAGCGAAAGCGUGGGGAGCGAACAGGAUUAGAUACCCUGGUAGUCCACGCCGUAAACGUUGGGCGCUAGAUGUGGGGACCAUUCCACGGUUUCCGUAUCGCAGCUAACGCAUUAAGCGCCCCGCCUGGGGAGUACGGCCGCAAGGCUAAAACUCAAAGGAAUUGACGGGGGCCCGCACAAGCGGCGGAGCAUGCGGAUUAAUUCGAUGCAACGCGAAGAACCUUACCAAGGCAUGACAUGUAGGAGGAAACGGCUAGAAAUAGUCGCCCCGCAAGGUCUCCUACACAGGUGGUGCAUGGUUGUCGUCAGCUCGUGUCGUGAGAUGUUCGGUUAAGUCCGGCAACGAGCGCAACCCUCGUCCUAUGUUGCCAGCGGGUAAUGCCGGGAACUCAUGGGAUACUGCCGUGGUCAACACGGAGGAAGGUGGGGAUGAGGUCAAAUCAUCAUGCCCCUUAAGUCUUGGGCUUCACGCAUGCUACAAUGGCCGAUACAAAGGGCUGCGAUACCGCAAGGUGGAGCGAAUCCCAAAAAGUCGGUCUCAGUUCGGAUUGGGGUCUGCAACUCGACCCCAUGAAGUCGGAGUCGCUAGUAAUCGCAGAUCAGCAACGCUGCGGUGAAUACGUUCCCGGGCCUUGUACACACCGCCC
rnacentral:rRNA from 1 species